CCUACGGGUGGCAGCAGUGGGGGAUAUUGCACAAUGGGGGCAACCCUGAUGCAGCGACGCCGCGUGGGUGAAGAAGCGCCUCGGCGCGUAAAGCACUUUCAGCAGGGAAGAAAAUGACGGUACCUGUAGACACAGCCCCGGCUAAGUCCGUGCCAGCAGCCGCGGUAAUACGUCGGGGGCACGCCUUAUCCGGAUUUACUGGGUGUAAAGGGAGCGCAGGCGGCACGGCAAGCCGGAUGUGAAAGCCCGCGGCGCAACCGGGGGACUGCAUUUGGAACUACCAGGCUGGAGUGCCGUAGAGGUAGGCAGAAGUCCUGGUGUAGCGGGGAAAUGCGUAGAGAUUAGGAGGAAUACCAGUGGCGAAGGCGGCCUACUGGACGGUGACUGACGCUGAGGCGCGAAAGCGUGGGGAGCAAACAGGAUUAGAUACCCCUGUAGUC
rnacentral:rRNA from 1 species